rnacentral:rRNA from 1 species
GACGAACGCUGGCGGCGUGCUUAACACAUGCAAGUCGAACGGAAAGGCCCUGCUUUUGUGGGGUGCUCGAGUGGCGAACGGGUGAGUAACACGUGAGUAACCUGCCCUUGACUUUGGGAUAACUUCAGGAAACUGGGGCUAAUACCGGAUAGGAGCUCCUGCUGCAUGGUGGGGGUUGGAAAGUUUCGGCGGUUGGGGAUGGACUCGCGGCUUAUCAGCUUGUUGGUGGGGUAGUGGCUUACCAAGGCUUUGACGGGUAGCCGGCCUGAGAGGGUGACCGGACAAAUGGGGACUGAGUUAGGCCCCAGACCCCAGGGGGGGGCAGCGGUGGGAAUUUUUGAACAGGGGGGGGAGCCUUACUGCAGCAACCCGGGGUGGGGGAUGGCGCCUUUGGGGUGGAAAACCGUUUUCCCUUGGGACGAGGCGUGAGGGACGGUAAUGGUGAAGGAAGGGCCGGGGAACGCCC